UUUUCCUACGGGGGGCAGCAGUGGGGAAUAUUGCACAAUGGGCGCAAGCCUGAUGCAGCCAUGCCGCGUGUAUGAAGAAGGCCUUAGGGUUGUAAAGUACUUUCAGCGGGGAGGAAGGUGAUAAGGUUAAUACCCUUGUCAAUUGACGUUACCCGCAGAAGAAGCACCGGCUAACUCCGUGCCAGCAGCCGCGGUAAUACGGAGGGUGCAAGCGUUAAUCGGAAUUACUGGGCGUAAAGCGCACGCAGGCGGUCAAUUAAGUCAGAUGUGAAAGCCCCGCGCUUAACUUGGGAAUUGCAUCUGAA
rnacentral:rRNA from 1 species